GACGAACGCUGGCGGCGUGCCUAAUACAUGCAAGUAGAACGCUGAAGAGAGGAGCUUGCUCUUCUUGGAUGAGUUGCGAACGGGUGAGUAACGCGUAGGUAACCUGCCUGGUAGCGGGGGAUAACUAUUGGAAACGAUAGCUAAUACCGCAUAAAAUGGAUUAUCGCAUGAUACUUCAUUGAAAGGUGCAAAUGCAUCACUACCAGAUGGACCUGCGUUGUAUUAGCUAGUUGGUGGGGUAACGGCUCACCAAGGCGACGAUACAUAGCCGACCUGAGAGGGUGAUCGGCCAAACUGGGACUGAGACACGGCCCAGACUCCUACGGGAGGCAGCAGGAGGGAAACUUCGGCAAUAGACGGAAGGCUGAACGAGCAACGCCGCGGGAGUGAAGGAGGGUUUCGGAUCGGAAAGCUCUGUUGUAAGAGAAGAAAGAGUGUGAGAGUGGAAAGUUCACACUGUGACGGUAUCUUACCAGAAAGGGACGGCUAACUACGUG
rnacentral:rRNA from 1 species